rnacentral:rRNA from 1 species
AUUGAACGCUGGCGGCAGGCCUAACACAUGCAAGUCGAACGGUAACAGGAAGCAGCUUGCUGCUUCGCUGACGGGUGGCGGACGGGUGAGUAAUGUCUGGGAAACUGCCUGAUGGAGGGGGAUAACUACUGGAAACGGUAGCUAAUACCGCAUAACGUCGCAAGACCAAAGAGGGGGACCUUAGGGCCUCUUGCCAUCGGAUGUGCCCAGAUGGGAUUAGCUAGUAGGUGGGGUAACGGCUCACCUAGGCGACGAUCCCUAGCUGGUCUGAGAGGAUGACCAGCCACACUGGAACUGAGACACGGUCCAGACUCCUACGGGAGGCAGCAGUGGGGAAUAUUGCACAAUGGGCGCAAGCCUGAUGCAGCCAUGCCGCGUGUAUGAAGAAGGCCUUCGGGUUGUAAAGUACUUUCAGCGGGGAGGAAGGGAGUAAAGUUAAUACCUUUGCUCAUUGACGUUACCCGCAGAAGAAGCACCGGCUAACUCCGUG